CGGGACCCCUCUCUGUGACUGUGAGCUGUUCUGUUCUUUUGCCUAUUAAACUCCUGCUCCAAACUCACUCUAUAUGUGUGUGCGUGUCCUCGACCUCAAUAUCCUUGGUCGUGAGACCAAGAACCUCAGUAUUUACCCCAGACAACAAGGCUGCUUCAUUUUGAGGGCUUGUCCGGGAUUUGAAGGUGACUUCAUCAGAAGGCUUUGCUGCUAAAGGGAUCUGCAGUCCAGUUGAAAAACUGCCCUUGCCUGAGCCCAGCCACUUUCUCCCAAAGAAAACUGGAGAAUCUAAACAUGAUUGUGAACAGAAUGACUUCCGGUGGCCUGGGACUCCUUGGAGAAACAGAAAAGGGGCCACAAAUCCCAUUUUAGGAAAAAUCUGUUUUCCUCGGAGCCCCUGGAAUUAAAGCAAUCUCCGGCUGCAGCUCAGAGAAAACAGAAAGGCAUGGGUAAUAGAAAAAUCUGGAAACAUGUUCUAGUUCUAGGCAAUUAUCCUACAAAUCCUGCCAGGUAAACUAUAACCCCAAGGUUUCCCUCUUUUUUUGGGAAAGUAAGACCAAGGAAGCUAAACAAAGCCAAGCCCCAUAUACCCACUCACAACAGCACAACCCAUCUGAAUGGCUCACAGGUAUCAAACAAACUCUGUUGUCAUGGUUACAGUCUAUAGUGCCCCUACUAAGAAUAGUAAUCUUAAUACUCAUAUUUGGAACCUAUAUUCUAAAUGUCCUUGUAAAGUUUAUCUCUUCUCGCUUAGAAACCAUUAAGCUUCAGAUGGUGGCGCAAAUGGAGCCGAAAAUGAAACUGCCCUCCUAUGAGGGACCCUUAAAUCAACCCCAGGAGGAGCCCUAGCUGCUGUUCCCCACACAACGCCACUCUCCAGCAGGAAGCAGCCAGAAGAAAUCGUCACCCAGUUUCCCCUAGCAGCAGUUACGGAUUCCAUUCCUGAGGGGGGAAAUAUGUUAUAGGAGGCAGAAAGAAAUUAUUUCGGUAGACAUUUAAGGCGCACUAAGAUAGAGGAGCUAAAAACAGACUUGGGGGGAUGUCUGCAGCUCCAAGAAGAUGUGUGGAAACAGACACAGAAACUCUCCCUCCCAGAUAAGCAAGACAAAGAAACACAGAAUAAGAGUCCAUCUAUGUGGUCAGAGAAUGGGAUAAGAGCUGAUUAAAAAAAACCCUGCGCUAUACAGAUCGCACACCUGGUCCCAACUAAACCACUGGGCCCUAGGAGCAUAAGACAUCCUCUGCUCAUGAGCCCCCUCCUCAGUAGCCCAUUUAUAAAAACCCUGACAAUUUUACUACCACUUGGCAACCCGCUCGGGACCCCUCUCUGUGAUGGAGAGCUGUUCUUUUCUUUUGCCUGUUAAACUCCUGCUCCAAA